UGAAUAUGGGGGGACCAUCCUCCAAGGCUAAAUACUCCUGACUGACCGAUAGUGAACCAGUACCGUGAGGGAAAGGCGAAAAGAACCCCGGCGAGGGGAGUGAAAAAGAACCUGAAACCGUGUACGUACAAGCAGUGGGAGCCUCUUUUAUGGGGUGACUGCGUACCUUUUGUAUAAUGGGUCAGCGACUUAUAUUCUGUAGCAAGGUUAACCGAAUAGGGGAGCCGAAGGGAAACCGAGUCUUAACUGGGCGUUAAGUUGCAGGGUAUAGACCCGAAACCCGGUGAUCUAGCCAUGGGCAGGUUGAAGGUUGGGUAACACUAACUGGAGGACCGAACCGACUAAUGUUGAAAAAUUAGCGGAUGACUUGUGGCUGGGGGUGAAAGGCCAAUCAAACCGGGAGAUAGCUGGUUCUCCCCGAAAGCUAUUUAGGUAGCGCCUCGUGAAUUCAUCUCCGGGGGUAGAGCACUGUUUCGGCAAGGGGGUCAUCCCGACUUACCAACCCGAUGCAAACUGCGAAUACCGGAGAAUGUUAUCACGGGAGACACACGGCGGGUGCUAACGUCCGUCGUGAAGAGGGAAACAACCCAGACCGCCAGCUAAGGUCCCAAAGUCAUGGUUAAGUGGGAAACGAUGUGGGAAGGCCCAGACAGCCAGGAUGUUGGCUUAGAAGCAGCCAUCAUUUAAAGAAAGCGUAAUAGCUCACUGGUCGAGUCGGCCUGCGCGGAAGAUGUAACGGGGCUAAACCAUGCACCGAAG
rnacentral:rRNA from 1 species